rnacentral:rRNA from 1 species
ACCCCUCUAGAGAUAGAGUUUUCCCCUUCGGGGGACAGAGUGACAGGUGGUGCAUGGUUGUCGUCAGCUCGUGUCGUGAGAUGUUGGGUUAAGUCCCGCAACGAGCGCAACCCUUAAGCUUAGUUGCCAUCAUUAAGUUGGGCACUCUAAGUUGACUGCCGGUGACAAACCGGAGGAAGGUGGGGAUGACGUCAAAUCAUCAUGCCCCUUAUGAUUUGGGCUACACACGUGCUACAAUGGACAAUACAAAGGGUAGCGAAACCGCGAGGUCAAGCAAAUCCCAUAAAGUUGUUCUCAGUUCGGAUUGUAGUCUGCAACUCGACUAUAUGAAGCUGGAAUCGCUAGUAAUCGUAGAUCAGCAUGCUACGGUGAAUACGUUCCCGGGUCUUGUACACACCGCCCGUCACACCACGAGAGUUUGUAACACCCGAAGCCGGUGGAGUAACCAUUUGGAGCUAGCCGUCGAAGGUGGGACAAAUGAUUGGGGUGAAGUCGUAACAAGGUAGCCGUAUCGGAAGGUGCGGCUGGAUCACCUCCUUUCUAAGGA